GGCUUCCCAAUGCUUACCACAGGCUAUGUUCUUUACAAUGACUGUAUAGAAAUAGGAGGUACAGUAAAUGCUCCCUAUAUACACCUUAAACCAGGACCUUUUGCCUGGUCUGUAUUGUGAAUGGGAGAACAACA